rnacentral:lncRNA from 1 species
CUGGGCGAAAAACAGCAGGGGUUUUGGUGAGUGGUCUUUCUGGGAACAAUGACACUGAGGCACUCGUGCAUGAGACAGCUCCAUUUUUUUCUUUCAGUGUUUGAACGAAUACGUCGUCGCCCGGUUGGAAUAUUAUUGCUAUUUUACAAGAAAAAUCGCAUAAAAAUUGAUUAAGUUGUAAAGUUUGGUUUUAAUCUUACGAUAGAGGUAAGGCAGAACGUUGUUUGAGUAGGGGUUAUAUUUUGGCGUACUGGUAAGGAUAGGAGAGUUGUGUGCGCAGGGCUAUGUUGGGCUGUUUGGCUGUAAGGAAUUCAGGUGUGAAUAAGGAAACAUUUUGUGAUAAUGUAUUCUGAUUAUUGUUUCUUAGUUUAUUGUUUAGGUAACACCAGUGAAUUUGAGCAGGAAGUUCAUGUAUUCUAACAUUAUAAUCUGUUUCCAUUACGUGGAACAAUGUCAGGUCAUUAAAGUGGAUUGCAGUUUGAGUUUAUUUUUAUUUUCACAGGGACAGUGCACAUUAAUCACAGUUGUGUGUGUGUGUGUGUGUGUGUGUGUGUGUGUGUGUGUGUGUGUGUGUGUGUGUGUCUGGAGCCUGGAUCUUGAAUACAAGAUAGGCGUCAAUGUAUUGCACAAGAUAUUUUUCCAACUCAGGAGCUUAUGCUUUUUAUAGCUAUUGGGCUUCCUAUCAAGCACUUUGAGAGCCUGUUUGCAGAUAGACUGAAUGGGUUUUAAUGUUGUACAGCAAGCUUGGGCCAUACUAGUAAAGUAGUAUGUUAAGUGGGGGAGUAUCAUAGAUUUGAAGUAUAGUUUUCUUACCUCUAUGGUUAAACAAUUUCAUAUGUUUUGGAAAUUAGCUUGGUUGAAUUUGGUUAUUUGAAUUACAUUUUUAAUUUGCUUUUUAAAAGAGAGGUUGGAAUCAAGUAUGAUGCCAUGGAACUUAAAAUCAGAUAUCACAUGGAGCUUUUCCCCUGAUACAUAGACAUCUGUCUCAGGGGCAUCAGUUGUUUUCUUUGUGAGGAACAUGCAGACUGUGUUUUGUUUUUAUUGAGAUACAAACAUGAGUCCCUGAGCAACUUUGUCAUCUGAACCAUUACAGUAGUGAGUUCUUGUGUAGCUUGUUGUUUGUUAUUUGCAUGCAUUUAUCACUGUAUCAUCUGCAUACAUUGGAACUUCAGACCCUGUACAGACAGAAGGAAGAUCAUUAAUGUACGAGCUGAACAGUAUGCCUUCCCCGUAGCUCAGUUGGUAGAGCAUGGUGUUUGCAACGCCAGGGUUGUGGGUUCGAUUCCCACGGGGGGCCAAGUACGAAGAAGAAAAAAAUUGUAUGAAAUGAAAUGUAUGCAUUCACUACUGUAAGUCGCUCUGGAUAAGAGCGUCUGCUAAAUGACUAAAAUGUCAAAUGUAUUGACCUUUCGGGAAUGAAAACAUUAUGAGUGGGAAAAAAAUUGUUUUGAUUCUUAGGCUGAUGAGACAGCACCAACUUUUGAAAGUUUGUUAAACAAAAUGUGUGUUUUUACUACAUUUAUGCAACAGGUUGAAAUGAUUUGAUUGCUGGAAAGGGGUUAUGGGUUUGUUUAUUGUUUACUGUUUAUUUUGGAUGUUGAUUUCACUUCAUUAAACAUUGUAUUAUCUGUUGUGUUUGAGUAGGAUUCUUUCUUCCGGGACAGAUGGAAGUCAACUAAAGUAUGUAUGUUAAAGGAGACAUGGCAAAACACGUCUACAUUUUUCUUGAAUGGCUGGGAUUAAAUAUCACUGAUUCCUUACACUGAGAAAUGUACUACAUUUGCAACAUAAUUUUUUUUUCAUUUAGUGUGUUAACAGGAACAAUCCAAAGGAGAAAAGGCUAUCACAUAUUUGUUGGACAUUGGUCUAGUAAUGAAACCAGGAUAAUUGUAUCUAAGCAUUUUCAAUUAAGUAUUCAUAUACAUUGAUGUAGAUUAAAACUAAUGAUUAAUGAUUUGAGGGAGUACAGUGGAAUUAUCAUUAUUAUUAGGUUUUGUUUGAAGUUAACUUUUGGGUUUCUGAAUUGGUGUAGUAUAAUGAAUGCUAACAAAGUGUUUUGUGUUUUCUUUGGGAAAAUGGGGAUUUCAUUGUCUAUUUUUGGAAUGUUUCCUAGAGCCACUCAAAAAAUAAAACUUUUAAAAUUCCAUGUGUGGUUAAUCCAGAUGAUUGGAACACUGUUGACACUUUUCAGCAAGUUGCAAUCAUGUAAUACAGAAAAAAAAACGUUUUUCAUAAACAAGGUCUAAAUCAUGUUUGAGUCACUCUGUAAAUACCAUUUUGCUGUACUGUUUAAACUCGAUGAAAGGAACAAUGUUGACACUUUUCUGCAAGUUGCAAUCAUGAAAUACAGAAAUAAACAGUUUUUCAUAAACAAGGUCUACAUCAUGUUUGAUGCACUCUGUAAAUACCAUUUUUGCUGUAC